GUUGCCAAAGGCGGAAAUGUCAUUUUUCAUUCCUUAAAUUUAAUAUGUUUAAACUCCUACCUUAAGUGCACUUUAGUUGUAGUUAAAAUGUUGUACAUACCUGCAAAUGAAAAGAGAGAGAAAAUAUUUAUUAUUGAUUUAAAUUUAAGCAGCGAGUUGGUUAAAACAUCGAUCAUAAAUGAUGAACUGAAAUGUCGUCGCCUGCAAUCCAGACAAAUGGCCGCAAAGAGCGUGCGAAUAGCAGCGAGUGAAAGUUUAAAGCCGAAAAGACUGAUGAUGGAAUUUACGCCCAUCAAGAAAAGCGACCAAAAAAAUAAAAAAAGAGCAAAAAUCAAACAAAACUAUUUACAAAUAGCGCAAUAGUUUGGGCAAAAAAAAGGAGCUAAAGGCCAAAAGGCGUUGGCCAUAAACUGGAUGAUGGGCCCCGGCACAUGAAAACAUUAUCGAAUAUGAUACGAGAGAGGCGUUUAGCGUCCAACGACGAUAUUGUUAUUGUUUUAUUUUGUGCUAGCUGGCUGCCGGCUUGUUUAGUUCGUGUAAUGCUGCGUAUACGUAUUAUUGAUACCACGACGUGGCUGCUGCUUGGCAAUUUUUACGAGCAGCAUGAACAUUUUUUAUGAGCACUUAUUUCCGCCCCAGAAAUUAGAAAACUGCCUCGAACAUUUUAUGCGCCUCCUCGCAAACAAAAGGCGAAAACGCAAAA